ensembl:Y_RNA Y_RNA Y RNA
GGCUGGGCUGAAGGUAGUGAGUUAAUUCAAUUAAUUGUUCACAGUCAGUUACAAAUCAGUCUAACUCUUCGUUCUACUCUUUCCUCCUUUCUCACUACUGCAUUUGCCUAGUCUAAA